rnacentral:lncRNA from 1 species
GCUUAUGCUUGAGAAUUAGGUCAGGUUGGCACAAACUGUUCAGUGAAAACUUUACUGACUGCAUCAAAGCUCUCAGAAGAGAAACACUGCUGCAAGACUGUGGCUGAGACAGUUCUGAGUCAGCUGAAUAGAGUCCAGCCAGUCCGCCUGGAAAACGUGAACUUUAUCCCCAAGUUAAUGUCUCUGGAUUCAUGGCUGAAGCAGAAAGAAUGCUUUCCCAGGGAGUCUCAGGGUCACAGCUGUUACAAUUGGUGGGUGUCUCCUAACUUAGGUAGGUGGGUGUACUAGAACUUAUCUGAAGCACCAGAAGUUGCUUUGUUUUCAGAAGGGGAUUGAAAAUUUUACCCUCUAGCAUUGUUUCUUAGCCUUCUCUGGCCUACGACCAAGCCAGCUUGCAGGUGAAAUUUUAUUUUCCAUUAAGACCUUGGUCAAAUACUCUCUUUUGCCCCAGUAAGCCAAAAUAUAUAUUGUUAUACUGACACAAAUAUUUACUGUUUGGUACAUAAUGCCCCAUAGUCCUCCUGCAGUCUUUGAUAAAGUUCGCUUCACUGCUCUUGUUUUCCUAGCUAAGAGCUAGUUCACGAAACAGAUGGGUGAUUGCAUGCUUGUGAUGUUGAACUCUGAGAGGAAAGUUGAAUGCUCUGCUUUUUGUUCAAUAUAAACUUGAUCUGACAUCACUGGGACUUUGCUCUUAGGAGGUUCUUUUUGCCUUAAGUAACCCGCUGGCUUUCAGUGGGUCAGUGACAAAAAGACAAAGUAGUCAAAGAUCAAUACUGUGAUGGUGCUCUCUUCUAUCUCUAGCCUGUAGAUGUUUCAGCCUGAUCUUACAUUUUAGUGGCUAUGGUUGCAUGAACAAUAUGCCUACCUCACUCCAUGAGAUCAAGAGAACAUCACACAUAAAAUGCGUACCCAAAUUAUUUUUAUUCUUUUCUCAGCUCAGCGGAAAUGAUUAGAUUUUGUGCAAAGCACUCCCACAACAAAAGGGUAUCACAGCAUCCUCUGACGAGUGAGUGUAGGAGGCUGUGAAUUAAGUGAAAUACAUUUAUUGGGAUCAUCCAGUUAACUUUAUGACAGAGCUGUUGUCUCAAAAUAACCCUCACCACCCUUUCUUUUCUUAACUUCAUAUAGAUAGGACAUCUGGCAGUGCAAUCAAUAACAUUAACCCUGACUAGCCCAAAUCACAACCAGGUUGGUUCAUUCUCCACAGCAAAAGAAAUCAUGCACAAUUUCCUAGUUGCCAAUAUCUCAAGUACAUGAAAGAAUUCUGCAUUCAAAAAAUAUCUAGACC